CAGCCGCCGCGGGAAUACGAAGGGUGCAAGCGUUAAUCGGAAUUACUGGGCGUAAAGCGUGCGUAGGCGGUUUGUUAAGUCUGCUGUGAAAUCCCCGGGCUCAACCUGGGAAUGGCAGUGGAUACUGGCAAGCUAGAGUGUGUCAGAGGAUGGUGGAAUUCCCGGUGUAGCGGUGAAAUGCGUAGAGAUCGGGAGGAACAUCAGUGGCGAAGGCGGCCAUCUGGGACAACACUGACGCUGAGGCACGAAAGCGUGGGGAGCAAACAGGAUUAGAUACCCGGGUAGUCCCUGUCUCUUAUAC
rnacentral:rRNA from 1 species